UACGGAGGGGGCUAGCGUUGUUCGGAAUUACUGGGCGUAAAGCGCUCGUAGGCGGAUUGGUCAGUCAGAGGUGAAAGCCCAGGGCUCAACCCUGGAACUGCCUUUGAUACUGCUAGUCUUGAGUUCGAGAGAGGUGAGUGGAAUUCCGAGUGUAGAGGUGAAAUUCGUAGAUAUUCGGAAGAACACCAGUGGCGAAGGCGGCUCACUGGCUCGAUACUGACGCUGAGGUGCGAAAGUGUGGGGAGCAAACAGGAUUAGAUACCCGUGUAGUCC
rnacentral:rRNA from 1 species